AUGAACGCUAGCUACAGGCUUAACACAUGCAAGUCGAGGGGCAGCAUGGUCUUAGCUUGCUAAGGCCGAUGGCGACCGGCGCACGGGUGAGUAACACGUAUCCAACCUGCCGUCUACUCUUGGACAGCCUUCUGAAAGGAAGAUUAAUACAAGAUGGCAUCAUGAGUCCGCAUGUUCACAUGAUUAAAGGUAUUCCGGUAGACGAUGGGGAUGCGUUCCAUUAGAUAGUAGGCGGGGUAACAGCCCACCUAGUCUUCGAUGGAUAGGGGUUCUGAGAGGAAGGUCCCCCACAUUGGAACUGAGACACGGUCCAAACUCCUACGGGAGGCAGCAGUGAGGAAUAUUGGUCAAUGGGCGAGAGCCUGAACCAGCCAAGUAGCGUGAAGGAUGACUGCCCUAUGGGUUGUAAACUUCUUUUGUAAAGGAAUAAAGUCGGGUAUGGAUACCCGUUUGCAUGUACUUUAUGAAUAAGGAUCGGCUAACUCCGUGCCAGCAGCCGCGGUAAUACGGAGGAUCCGAGCGUUAUCCGGAUUUAUUGGGUUUAAAGGGAGCGUAGAUGGAUGUUUAAGUCAGUUGUGAAAGUUUGCGGCUCAACCGUAAAAUUGCAGUUGAUACUGGAUAUCUUGAGUGCAGUUGAGGCAGGCGGAAUUCGUGGUGUAGCGGUGAAAUGCUUAGAUAUCACGAAGAACUCCGAGUGCGAAGGCAGCCUGCUAAGCUGCAACUGACAUUGAGGCUCGAAAGUGUGGGUAUCAAACAGGAUUAGAUACCCUGGUAGUCCACACGGUAAACGAUGAAUACUCGCUGUUUGCGAUAUACUGCAAGCGGCCAAGCGAAAGCGUUAAGUAUUCCACCUGGGGAGUACGCCGGCAACGGUGAAACUCAAAGGAAUUGACGGGGGCCCGCACAAGCGGAGGAACAUGUGGUUUAAUUCGAUGAUACGCGAGGAACCUUACCCGGGCUUAAAUUGCAGAUGAAUUACGGUGAAAGCCGUAAGCCGCAAGGCAUCUGUGAAGGUGCUGCAUGGUUGUCGUCAGCUCGUGCCGUGAGGUGUCGGCUUAAGUGCCAUAACGAGCGCAACCCUUGUUGUCAGUUACUAACAGGUUCCGCUGAGGACUCUGACAAGACUGCCAUCGUAAGAUGUGAGGAAGGUGGGGAUGACGUCAAAUCAGCACGGCCCUUACGUCCGGGGCUACACACGUGUUACAAUGGGGGGUACAGAGGGCCGCUACCACGCGAGUGGAUGCCAAUCCCCAAAACCUCUCUCAGUUCGGACUGGAGUCUGCAACCCGACUCCACGAAGCUGGAUUCGCUAGUAAUCGCGCAUCAGCCACGGCGCGGUGAAUACGUUCCCGGGCCUUGUACACACCGCCCGUCAAGCCAUGGGAGCCGGGGGUACCUGAAGUGCGUAACCGCGAGGAGCGCCCUAGGGUAAAACUGGUGACUGGGGCU
rnacentral:rRNA from 1 species